GAAUUUUAUAUAAUUAUAAUUAGAAAAGAAUAAUAUGGAUUAUAUUUGGUUGGGAGGAUAAUUUAAUUUAAUAAACUUAAAAUAUUUAAAGACAAUGAUAUAUGAAUUAGAAAUUAAGGAUUAAUUUAUAAAUUAUAGAAGAAGUAAUUACCUCAGGGAUAACAGCAUAAUAUUUUUUUUUAGAUCAUAUAUAAAAAAAUGAUUAU
rnacentral:rRNA from 1 species